AGAGUUUGAUCCUGGCUCAGAUUGAACGCUGGCGGCAGGCUUAACACAUGCAAGUCGAGCGGUAGCACAGGGGAGCUUGCUCCCUGGGUGACGAGCGGCGGACGGGUGAGUAAUGUCUGGGAAACUGCCUGAUGGAGGGGGAUAACUACUGGAAACGGUAGCUAAUACCGCAUAACGUCGCAAGACCAAAGAGGGGGACCUUCGGGCCUCUUGCCACCAGAUGUGCCCAGAUGGGAUUAGCUAGUAGGUGGGGUAAUGGCUCACCUAGGCGACGAUCCCUAGCUGGUCUGAGAGGAUGACCAGCCACACUGGAACUGAGACACGGUCCAGACUCCUACGGGAGGCAGCAGUGGGGAAUAUUGCACAAUGGGCGCAAGCCUGAUGCAGCCAUGCCGCGUGUGUGAAGAAGGCCUUCGGGUUGUAAAGCACUUUCAGCGAGGAGGAAGGUGGUGAACUUAAUACGUUCAUUAAUUGACGUUACUCGCAGAAGAAGCACCGGCUAACUCCGUGCCAGCAGCCGCGGUAAUACGGAGGGUGCAAGCGUUAAUCGGAAUUACUGGGCGUAAAGCGCACGCAGGCGGUUUGUUAAGUCAGAUGUGAAAUCCCCGGGCUCAACCUGGGAACUGCAUUUGAAACUGGCAAGCUAGAGUCUCGUAGAGGGGGGUAGAAUUCCAGGUGUAGCGGUGAAAUGCGUAGAGAUCUGGAGGAAUACCGGUGGCGAAGGCGGCCCCC
rnacentral:rRNA from 1 species